rnacentral:lncRNA from 1 species
GGUGAGCCGGACGCAGGCGUGCCUGCGCAGUGCGCGGAGGAGUGCUGUUCGUGUGUUCGAGUCCCUGGGUUGCUUCCUGGGGUCUGUGGUGCUGGGUGUGCUAUCUGCGUGUGAUUCUCUAGCGAGAGAUUGUGGGCGAGUGACCGAGUGGGCAAGGGGCCGUCACUGUGUGUGCGUGAUUUUGACAGUGUGUGGUGGUAGCUUCUGACUCCGCGUGGGUCGUUGAAUGUAUGACUGGGACCGUUUAGCGGUGGAUACACAACUGUGUGCGGCUGUGGAAGAUUGCCUCAUCCGUUACGUUCCCAUUUCCGUGGAACAACAGUUUUACCAGAAGGUUUCGAAGGAACCUUAAAGUUUGGAAGCGUAAGAGUUUAUCUGGCGGCUUUGGUGUCAUCAAAUGUGAGAAGCCCUGGACUUUACACAUCCCGAGCCAGUGUGAUCCAGUAUGAUUGGGAGUCCGAGUGCCAGAUGCCGGUCAGGACCUGUUAUGCUGGGUCUCAGAAUGCGGAAACUCUCCCUGUCCGAGGUGGAACAGUUUGUCCUUGAGUGAGGACUGGAGUCCUGAGUGACUCUUUUGAUUUGAUCCUGUUUCCCUCAAACCUGAGAUGGGAGCCUCACUGUAUUGCCCAGGCUGGUCUUGAACUCCGGAGCUCAAGUGAUCGUCUUGCUUCAGCCUUGCAAAAUGAUGGUGAAGCUGCAUCAUUGUCUGGGGUAAAUACCUGAGGUUCGUUGUCUCACGCCAAGGGAAUCAAGGACGUGGACACACAAGAAAUGGAGUCCCUGUCUGACCGGGCCAUGUUGUAUGUUCCUUGCUGUACACGUGGUUGACAAAGAAAAGGGAAGAUGGAGCUGCGAUGUUGGACAUGCCUGGCCCCCAGGUAGCUUUUUCCUAUUGGCACAGCUGCUGGCAUUCACCCGUGCAAACUUCCAGCUUGCUUAUCUAUGUCUGCAGCUUGAUUUUUCAGGCUGCUGUUUGUUAGAAAAGAAAUGACUUGGGGGCUGCUUUUCAUUAAAAGGAAAACCUUACCGGGGAUUUCCUUACCCUCACUAUCUGCCUAAAUAAUUUCUUUUUAACUCCUAUGUCACUUGGGAUUACAGGCAUGAGCCGCUGUGCCUGCUAGAGGGUUUUUUAUCUUUAUUCCUCAAGAUUUUGCAUUUAGAUAAUUAUGUUAAACUUGGGUGUGCUAGGUAGACAUACGUCUGCUGAUUACCUGUUUAGGAAGAAUGUGGAUUCGUACGUAGGGAAAAGGAGUCAGGCUGGUGGGACCAGGGGAAAGCAAAGAGAUAAAGCAAAUAAGCUAUAGAUCUGCAUUUUCUUCAUGGUCCAGGAUAUAUAAACAAAAAAAGGAAGCAGAUAAGCUAUAGGCUUGCUUUUCUUUAUGACCCAGGACAUACAGCCCUGCCGAGCAAAUAAUGAACGUAACUCACAAACUUCCUGCUUAUCAUCAAACGCACGCAUCCACUUAUCAUCAAACACCUCGGGUGACAGAAGAAUGCAGGUCAGCUCCCUGCUGCCUUGGCAUUAUCAAUCAGCCCAGGAACCAUCCUAUAAAAUCUCCAGCAAGCCUUUGUUUCCUUGCAGUCAGCUCCUCUUCCACUGAUUCUGCCUGUUGCUCCCUGAUAACAUACUUUGAUACUGUCUUUAAUAAAUCUGCCUUUCUUCAC